rnacentral:rRNA from 1 species
GACGAACGCUGGCGGCGUGCUUAACACAUGCAAGUCGAACGGAAAGGCCCCUUUGGGGGUCCUCGAGUGGCGAACGGGUGAGUAACACGUGAGUAACCUGCCCUUGACUUCGGGAUAACUUCAGGAAACUGGGGCUAAUACCGGAUAGGAAUCCUUGCUGCAUGGUGGGGGUUGGAAAGCUUCGGCGGUUUUGGAUGGACUCGCGGCUUAUCAGCUUGUUGGUGGGGUAGUGGCUUACCAAGGCUUUGACGGGUAGCCGGCCUGAGAGGGCGACCGGCCACAUUGGGACUGAGAUACGGCCCAGACUCCUACGGGAGGCAGCAGUGGGGAAUAUUGCACAAUGGGCGGAAGCCUGAUGCAGCAACGCCGCGGGCGGGAUGACGGCCUUCGGGUUGUAAACCGCUUUCAGCAGGGGCGAAGCUUGUGGUGACGGUACCUACAGAAGAAGCACCGGCUAACUACGUG